UCUCUCUCACUCACUCUCUCCUUCCCUCUAUCUCUCGUGCUUUCCUCCCUCCUUAGCAUCUCCUCUCUCACUCUCUAUCUCCUGUGCUCUCUCUCUUUCUCCCUCUCUCUUGCCCUUUCUAACACCCCGAGCUAUCCCCUCUCCCCUAUGCUUCUCCUACCGUAGCCCUCUUCUCCUACUUCCUUGCUCCCUCUAUUUGUCUGUGUAUGUGUGGUUGUGUGUCAGUGGAUUCAAAAAUAGAAAAAAGAAAAAAAAAGGAAACAGGAUCCAUCUCUCUUUCUCUCUCCUUUCUUCUUCUUCUUCUUCCUUAUCGUUGCUUUGGGGCUAUGGUUGUUGCCAUAGGUUGGCACUUCAUCAGAGUAGGUAAG
rnacentral:lncRNA from 1 species